rnacentral:ncRNA from 2 species
GGUCAUGAGUACCAGCAUCAAGCCCCGGCUUGCUGGUCGGCAACCCUCCUCCGCGGUGGGGUGCUCCGGGUGACGACCAGGCUGGCAUCGGAAAACCGAUGCAGCAAGCGCGGACU